AUUUAAAAUUUUCAUCCAUUUCUACUAUUAGAAAUUGGUGCGGUUGACGGAAUACCGGACAAUUACACAUGGUGUGCUAUAUAUACCUCAUGUUGAUGUACAUGUAACAAUUUUUAAUAGUAACCAUGGAUGAAAUUUUUAAUA
rfam:Gossypium hirsutum cultivar TM-1 unplaced genomic scaffold scaffold417.1, whole genome shotgun sequence